UAGAUACGUCCGUCCUAAAAUUCUUGUCUUAGAUUUGUCUAGAUACGGAAGUAUCUACUUGAUACAUCCGUAUUUAGACAAAUGUAAGAUAAGAAUUUUAGGACGGAGGGAGUAGCUU
rfam:Triticum urartu cultivar G1812 contig512327, whole genome shotgun sequence.